AGUGAUGCAAAAUGCAGUAGAGAUAACCACCAUCUGGAAGCGGCCGGUAUAAAUGUUAGCUACAUAAGCGAACAACGCAACGAGAAUUGCGAUUGUUCCUUCCAUCAAAUUCACGACCACUACAGCUCUUCGGAGGUCGUACUCCUCCCACGCGUCGGUGAGACGCGUUAUCAAAAUGUUCAGAAAUGUCUUCUCCACCAACUUGUAGCUGAAUAUGAGGCCUGCAUUUAAUAUAAUUGUGUUGCAAAAUCAAUGCAUAUAUACUUUUGUUAAAAAGAGUAGAUUGAAUUUUGCAAGAUUGUAUGAAUAUUGUUACCUAAGAUGAACAAGAUGGAGUUUGUGAAAACGACGUAGUAAUGAAACG
rnacentral:lncRNA from 1 species